AUUGAACGCUGGCGGCAGGCCUAACACAUGCAAGUCGAGCGGAGCGGCGGACGGGUGAGUAAUGCCUAGGAAUCUGCCUGGUAGUGGGGGCUAACGUCCGGAAACGGGAGCUAAUACCGCAUACUAUCAGAUGAGCCUAGGUCGGAUUAGCUAGUUGGUAGGGUAACGGCCUACCAAGGCGACGAUCCGUAACUGGUCUGAGAGGAUGCUCAGGCACACUGGAACGUAGACACGGGCCAGACUCCUACGGGAGGCAGCAGUGGGGAAUAUUGGGCAAGGGGCGAAAGCCUGACCCAGCCAUGCCGCGUGUGUGAAGAAGGUCUUCGGAUUGUAAAGCACUUUAAGUUGGGAGGCGUUACCAACAGAAUAAGCACCGGCUAACUUCGUGCCAGCAGCCGCGGUAAUAC
rnacentral:rRNA from 1 species